rnacentral:rRNA from 1 species
UACGUAGGGGGCUAGCGUUGUCCGGAAUCAUUGGGCGUAAAGCGCGUGUAGGCGGUCCGGUAAGUCCGCUGUGAAAGUCGGGGGCUCAACCCUCGAAUGCCGGUGGAUACUGUCGGGCUAGAGUGCGGAAGAGGCGAGUGGAAUUCCUGGUGUAGCGGUGAAAUGCGCAGGUAUCAGGAGGAACACCAAUUGCGAAGGCAGCUCGCUGGGACGUUACUGACGCUGAGACGCGAAAGCGUGGGGAGCAAACAGG